rnacentral:rRNA from 1 species
CGCCUGCCCAGUGACUUUAUGUUUAACGGCCGCGGUACUCUGACCGUGCAAAGGUAGCGUAAUCACUUGUCUUUUAAAUAAGGACUAGUAUGAAUGGCAUCACGAGGACUUAGCUGUCUCCCUCAUCUAAUCAGUGAAACUGAUCUCCCUGUGAAAAAGCAGGGAUUUUUACAUAAGACGAGAAGACCCUAUGGAGCUUUAAACCAAAAACUACCUGUUUAAUCUUCUAUGCUAAAAAUAGGACUAAAACAACUGACCUAGUUUAGGUUUUCAGUUGGGGUGACUGUGGAGAAAAAUAAAUCCUCCAUGCAGACUUAAGCUUUGAGCAACCGCUCUACGUAUUAGCAAGUCUAACUGCACUUGAUCCAAUCUUUUUGAUCAACGGACCAAGUUACCCUAGGGAUAACAGCGCAAUCCAUUUUAAGAGUCCAUAUCGACAAAUGGGUUUACGACCUCGAUGUUGGAUUAGGACACCCGAGUGGUGCAGCCGCUACUUAAGGUUCGUUUGUUC